AUUGAACGCUGGCGGCAGGCCUAACACAUGCAAGUCGAGCGGAGCGGCGGACGGGUGAGUAAUGACUAGGUAUCUGCCUGGUAGUGGGGGAUAACGUACGGAAACGGGCGCUAAUACCGCCUACUCUCAGAUGAGUCUAGGUUGGAUUGGCUAGUUGGUGGGGUAAAGGCCUACCAAGGCGACGAUCCGUAACUGGUCUGAGAGGAUGAUCAGUCACACUGGGACUGAGACACGGUCCAGACUCCUACGGGAGGCAGCAGUGGGGAAUAUUGGACAAUGGGCGAAAGCCUGAUCCAGCCAUGCCGCGUGUGUGAAGAAGGUCUUCGGGUUGUAAAGCACUUUAAGUUGGGAGGCGUUACCGACAGAAGAAGCACCGGCUAACUCCGUGCCAGCAGCCGCGGUAAUUC
rnacentral:rRNA from 1 species